rnacentral:rRNA from 1 species
GAUGAACGCUGGCGGCGUGCCUAAUACAUGCAAGUCGAGCGAACAGACGAGGAGCUUGCUCCUCUGACGUUAGCGGCGGACGGGUGAGUAACACGUGGAUAACCUACCUAUAGGACUGGGAUAACUUCGGGAAACCGGAGCUAAUACCGGAUAAUAUAUUGAACCGCAUGGUUCAAUAGUGAAAGACGGUUUUGCUGUCACUUAUACAUGGAUCCGCGCCGCAUUAGCUAGUUGGUAAGGUAACGGCUUACCAAGGCGACGAUGCGUAGCCGACCUGAGAGGGUGAUCGGACACACUGGAACUGAGACACGGUCCAGACUCCUACGGGAGGCAGCAGUAGGGAAUAUUCCGCAAUGGGCGAAAGCCUGACGGAGCAACGCCGCGUGAGUGAUGAAGGUCUUCGGAUCGUAAAACUCUGUUAUUAGGGAAGAACAAAUGUGUAAGUAACUAUGCCCGUCUUGACGGUACCUAAUCAGAAAGCCACGGCUAACUACGUG